rnacentral:rRNA from 1 species
AUUGAACGCUGGCGGCAUGCCUUACACAUGCAAGUCGAACGGCAGCACGGGAGCAAUCCUGGUGGCGAGUGGCGAACGGGUGAGUAAUACAUCGGAACGUGCCCUGUCGUGGGGGAUAACUAGUCGAAAGAUUAGCUAAUACCGCAUACGACCUGAGGGUGAAAGCGGGGGACCGUAAGGCCUCGCGCGAUAGGAGCGGCCGAUGUCUGAUUAGCUAGUUGGUGGGGUAAAGGCCCACCAAGGCGACGAUCAGUAGCUGGUCUGAGAGGACGAUCAGCCACACUGGGACUGAGACACGGCCCAG